AGGCCUGGAGCAAGAAGCAGGGUCUGAUCCGUAGCCUCUGUGGCAGCUGUUGAUCAGCCCUUGCCUCUUUCUUUCUCUCCA
rfam:Myotis lucifugus cont2.515, whole genome shotgun sequence.